CAUGCAAGUCGAGGGGAAACGACAUCGAAAGCUUGCUUUUGAUGGGCGUCGACCGGCGCACGGGUGAGUAACGCGUAUCCAACCUGCCCACCACUUGGGGAUAACCUUGCGAAAGUAAGACUAAUACCCAAUGACGUCUCUAGAAGACAUCUGAAAGAGAUUAAAGAUUUAUCGGUGAUGGAUGGGGAUGCGUCUGAUCAGCUUGUUGGCGGGGUAACGGCCCACCAAGGCGACGAUCAGUAGGGGUUCUGAGAGGAAGGUCCCCCACAUUGGAACUGAGACACGGUCCAAACUCCUACGGGAGGCAGCAGUGAGGAAUAUUGGUCAAUGGACGAGAGUCUGAACCAGCCAAGUAGCGUGCAGGAAGACGGCCCUAUGGGUUGUAAACUGCUUUUAUAAGGGAAUAAAGUGAGAGUCGUGACUCUUUUUGCAUGUACCUUAUGAAUAAGGACCGGCUAAUUCCGUGCCAGCAGCCGCGGUAAUACGGAAGGUCCGGGCGUUAUCCGGAUUUAUUGGGUUUAAAGGGAGCGUAGGCCGGAGAUUAAGCGUGUUGUGAAAUGUAGAUGCUCAACAUCUGAACUGCAGCGCGAACUGGUUUCCUUGAGUACGCACAAAGUGGGCGGAAUUCGUGGUGUAGCGGUGAAAUGCUUAGAUAUCACGAAGAACUCCGAUUGCGAAGGCAGCUCACUGGAGCGCAACUGACGCUGAAGCUCGAAAGUGCGGGUAUCGAACAGGAUUAGAUACCCUGGUAGUCCGCACGGUAAACGAUGGAUGCCCGCUGUUGGUCUGAAUAGGUCAGCGGCCAAGCGAAAGCAUUAAGCAUCCCACCUGGGGAGUACGCCGGCAACGGUGAAACUCAAAGGAAUUGACGGGGGCCCGCACAAGCGGAGGAACAUGUGGUUUAAUUCGAUGAUACGCGAGGAACCUUACCCGGGCUUG
rnacentral:rRNA from 1 species